GAUGAACGCUAGCGGCAGGCCUAAUACAUGCAAGUCGGACGGGCUUGGAGAGCUUGCUUUCCAUGAGAGUGGCGCACGGGUGCGUAACACGUAUGUAACCUACCUUGUUCAGGGGGAUAGCCUCUCGAAAGAGAGAUUAAGACCGCAUAACAUUGCGAUGUGGCAUCACAUUGUAAUCAAAUAUUUAUAGGAACAAGAUGGGCAUGCGGAACAUUAGCUAGUUGGUAAGGUAACGGCGUACCAAGGCUACGAUGUUGAGGGGAUCUGAGAGGAUGACCCCCCACACUGGUACUGAGACACGGACCAGACUCCUACGGGAGGCAGCAGUAAGGAAUAUUGGUCAAUGGGCGGAAGCCUGAACCAGCCAUGCCGCGUGCAGGAAGACGGCCCUAUGGGUUGUAACCUGCUUUUGCAGGGGAAUAAACCUUGGUACGUGUACCAAGCUGAAUGUACUCUGAGAAUAAGGAUCGGCUAACUCCGUGCCAGCAGCCGCAGUAA
rnacentral:rRNA from 1 species